GUGAGGGAUGACGGCCUUCGGGUUGUAAACCUCUUUCAGUAGGGAAGAAGCGAAAGUGACGGUACCUGCAGAAGAAGCGCCGGCUAACUACGUGCCAGCAGCCGCGGUAAUACGUAGGGCGCAAGCGUUAUCCGGAAUUAUUGGGCGUAAAGAGCUCGUAGGCGGUUUGUCGCGUCUGCCGUGAAAGUCCGGGGCUCAACUCCGGAUCUGCGGUGGGUACGGGCAGGCUAGAGUGAUGUAGGGGAGACUGGAAUUCCUGGUGUAGCGGUGAAAUGCGCAGAUAUCAGGAGGAACACCGAUGGCGAAGGCAGGUCUCUGGGCAUUAACUGACGCUGAGGAGCGAAAGCAUGGGGAGCGAACAGGAUUAGAUACCCUGGUAGUCCAUGCCGUAAACGUUGGGCACUAGGUGUGGGGGACAUUCCACGUUUUCCGCGCCGUAGCUAACGCAUUAAGUGCCCCGCCUGGGGAGUACGGCCGCAAGGCUAAAACUCAAAGGAAUUGACGGGGGCCCGCACAAGCGGCGGAGCAUGCGGAUUAAUUCGAUGCAACGCGAAGAACCUUACCAAGGCUUGACAUGGACCGGACCGCCGCAGAGAUGUGGUUUCUCCUUUUGGGGCCGGUUCACAGGUGGUGCAUGGUUGUCGUCAGCUCGUGUCGUGAGAUGUUGGGUUAAGUCCCGCAACGAGCGCAACCCUCGUUCCAUGUUGCCAGCGC
rnacentral:rRNA from 1 species